rnacentral:rRNA from 1 species
UACGUAGGGUGCAAGCGUUGUCCGGAAUUAUUGGGCGUAAAGAGCUCGUAGGCGGUCUGUCGCAUCUGCUGUGAAAACUCGGGGCUUAACCCCGGGCCUGCAGUGGGUACGGGCAGACUAGAGUGCGGUAGGGGAGACUGGAAUUCCUGGUGUAGCGGUGAAAUGCGCAGAUAUCAGGAGGAACACCGGUGGCGAAGGCGGGUCUCUGGGCCGUAACUGACGCUGAGGAGCGAAAGCGUGGGUAGCGAACAGG